GUGCCAGCCGCCGCGGUAAUACGGAAGGUCCGGGCGUUAUCCGGAUUUAUUGGGUUUAAAGGGAGCGCAGGCGGAGAGCUAAGCGUGACGUGAAAUGUAGCCGCCCAACGGCUGACGUGCGUCGCGAACUGGUUUUCUUGAGUGGGUACGACGUCGGCGGAACUCGUGGUGUAGCGGUGAAAUGCUUAGAUAUCACGAGGAACCCCGAUUGCGAAGGCAGCCGACGAGUCCCUUACUGACGCUAAAGCUCGAAGGUGCGGGUAUCGAACAGGAUUAGAUACCCUGGUAGUCCGCACGGUAAACGAUGGAUGCCCGCUGUUGGCGACACACUGUCAGCGGCCAAGCGAAAGCGUUAAGCAUCCCACCUGGGGAGUACGCCGGCAACGGUGAAACUCAAAGGAAUUGACGGGGGCCCGCACAAGCGGAGGAACAUGUGGUUUAAUUCGAUGAUACGCGAGGAACCUUACCCGGGCUUGAACUGCCGGCGAACGAUUCAGAGAUGAUGAGGCCCUUCGGGGCGCCGGUGGAGGUGCUGCAUGGUUGUCGUCAGCUCGUGCCGUGAGGUGUCGGCUUAAGUGCCAUAACGAGCGCAACCCCUCUCCGUAGUUGCCAUCGGGUUAAGCCGGGCACUCUGCGGACACUGCCACCGCAAGGUGUGAGGAAGGUGGGGAUGACGUCAAAUCAGCACGGCCCUUACGUCCGGGGCUACACACGUGUUACAAUGGGGAGUACAGAGAGCCGGUCUGCGCAACGCCGAUCCAAUCCUUAAAGCUCUCCUCAGUUCGGAUUGGGGUCUGCAACCCGACCCCAUGAAGCUGGAUUCGCUAGUAAUCGCGCAUCAGCCAUGGCGCGGUGAAUACGUUCCCGGGCCUUGUACACACCGCCCGU
rnacentral:rRNA from 1 species